rnacentral:piRNA from 1 species
UAACGUUAACUGACAUCUCGCUGCAAGG